rnacentral:rRNA from 1 species
UACGGAGGGGGCUAGCGUUGUUCGGAAUUACUGGGCGUAGAGCGCGCGUAGGCGGCUUUGCAAGUUAGCGGUGAAAGCCCGAAGCUCAACUUCGGAAUUGCCUUUAAAACUGCGAGGCUAGAAUUGUGGAGAGGUAAGUGGAAUUCCGAGUGUAGAGGUGAAAUUCGUAGAUAUUCGGAAGAACACCAGUGGCGAAGGCGACUUACUGGACACAUAUUGACGCUGAGGUGCGAAAGCGUGGGGAGCAAACAGG